rnacentral:rRNA from 1 species
UACGUAGGCAGCAAGCGUUGUUUGGAGUUACUGGGCGUAAAGGGUGCGUAGGCGGUCCUAUAAGUAUGGGGUGAAAUCUCCCGGCUUAACUGGGAGGGUGCGCUAUAGACUGUGGGACUAGAGUGUGGGAGAGGAAAGUGGAAUUCCUGGUGUAGCGGUGAAAUGCGUAGAUAUCAGGAGGAACACCGGUGGUGUAAACGGCUUUCUGGACCAUAACUGACGCUGAGGCACGAAAGCGUGGGUAGCAAACAGG